CGUUGAAACAUCGGUCCCUGUACGAUCACCGAAGUUAAGCAAUAUCGAGCCUGGUCAGUACCUAGAAGAGUAACCGCUUGGGAAUAACAGGUGUUGUAAG